rnacentral:rRNA from 1 species
UACGGAGGGUGCAAGCGUUAAUCGGAAUUACUGGGCGUAAAGCGCACGCAGGUGGCUGAGUCAGUCGAUUGUGAAAGCCCUGGCUUAACCUGGGAAUUGCAGUCGAUACUACUCAGCUAGAGUAUGGGAGAGGCAGUGGAAUUCCCGGUGUAGCGGUGAAUGACGUAGAUAUCAUUGGAACGCCAAUGGUGAAACAGCUCGCUGGGACGGUACUGACGCUGAGACGCGAAGCGUGGGGAGCAAACAGG